rnacentral:rRNA from 1 species
GAUGAACGCUAGCGGGAGGCCUAAUACAUGCAAGUCGAGCGGUAGAGUGACUUCGGUUGCUUGAGAGCGGCGAACGGGUGAGUAACGCGUACACAAUCUACCUUUAAGAGGGGAAUAGCCCUGGGAAACUGGGAUUAAUGCCCCAUGGCAUCACGAAGUGGCAUCGCUUUGUUGAUUAAAGCUGAGGUGCUUAGAGAUGAGUGUGCGUCUGAUUAGCUAGUUGGUGCGGUAACGGCGCACCAAGGCGACGAUCAGUAGGGGGCGUGAGAGCGUGGACCCCCACCACGGGUACGUGAGACACGGACCCGACUCCUACGGGAGGCAGCAGUAAGGAAUAUUGGUCGAAUAGGAGGGAAACUACUGAACCA